UACGUAGGGUGCGAGCGUUAAUCGGAAUUACUGGGCGUAAAGGGUGCGCAGGCGGUUAUAUAAGACAGAUGUGAAAUCCCCGGGCUCAACCUGGGAACUGCGUUUGUGACUGUAUGACUAGAGUACGGUAGAGAGGGGUGGAAUUCCUGGUGUAGCAGUGAAAUGCGUAGAUAUCAGGAGGAACAUCGAUGGCGAAGGCAGCCCCUUGGACCUGUACUGACGCUCAGGCACGAAAGCGUGGGGAGCAAACGGG
rnacentral:rRNA from 1 species